rnacentral:rRNA from 1 species
CCUACGGGAGGCAGCAGUAAGGAAUAUUGGUCAAUGGACGCAAGUCUGAACCAGCCAUGUCGCGUGCAGGAUGAAGGCCCUCUGGGUUGUAAACUGCUUUUAUAGGGGACGAAAAGGGACUUUCUAGUUCAACUGACGGUACCCUAGGAAUAAGCACCGGCUAACUCCGUGCCAGCAGCCGCGGUAAUACGGAGGGUGCAAGCGUUAUCCGGAUUUACUGGGUUUAAAGGGUGCGUAGGUGGGUCGGUAAGUCAGCGGUGAAAUCUUCAAGCUUAACUUGGAAACUGCCAUUGAUACUAUCGAUCUUGAAUCAUCUGGAGGUAAGCGGAAUAUGUCAUGUAGCGGUGAAAUGCUUAGAUAUGACAUAGAACACCAAUUGCGAAGGCAGCUUACUACGGAUGUAUUGACACUGAGGCACGAAAGCUGGGGAUCAAACAGGAUUAGAUACCCUGGUAGUCCACGCCCUAAACCGAUGGAUACUCGACAUACGUGAUAUACCUAUUGUGUGUNUGAGNGAAGACAUAAGUAUACCACCGUCGGUAGUACGAGCGCGAGAGUAGAACGUACGAAAGUAAGUAGUAGACGUGAGAGACGACGACGACGACGACGAGGGAGGAGG